rnacentral:snRNA from 1 species
ACACCCAACAAUAUAUGUGUGAU